rnacentral:rRNA from 1 species
UACGUAGGGUGCGAGCGUUAAUCGGAAUUACUGGGCGUAAAGCGUGCGCAGGCGGUUUUGUAAGCCGGAUGUGAAAUCCCCGGGCUUAACCUGGGAAUGGCAUUCGGGACUGCAAGGCUGGAGUGCGGCAGAGGAGACGUGGAAUUCCUGGUGUAGCAGUGAAAUGCGUAGAUAUCAGGAGGAACACCGAUGGCGAAGGCAGGUCGUCUGGGCUGACACUGA